rnacentral:lncRNA from 1 species
GUUUGCUUGUGAACAACUGCAGUGCUCAUUCUACUUUUUUUUUUCCUUCCUUCUACCUUGCUGUACUCUGUGAGAUCUUUAAAGUUCUGAGUCUGAUAUCUGAUAGUGUUAUCCAUCCUGAUCCAAGCAAGCAGCUCUGGGCCACUCAGCCUCGUUCUCCAUGCCAGGAUCUGCCUUUUGGAGGAAUGCAUCGGGUGGCUCAAUUCAGUGUUUUGAUGCCACGUCCUUCCCAUUCCAAAGCACUGUGCAGCACCAGCGGGUGACCCAGCUGUUGUUCAAAGGAAGGAGAAAGCAGGCGAUGGUGGGGACAACAGUGGGCAUUCAUAGAGCAGCAAGAUGUAAUACAACGCAGGAGUGAAACCUCACCUCAGGCAAUAAGUGCCUUUUCCUGUGACUCCACAAGAUUUAAAGCCAUUUGGAAAGGGUGUGUGUGAGUAGGCUGUAAGCAUUGCUGUCUGAGCACCUCGUGCUGGGGUCACUACAAUGUGCACUGCUCAAGCAGCACUUCAGAACCCCAGAGACCAUCUGGAGCUGAGUGAGGUCUCCCCCAUGAGUGCCCUGCUUACCGUGAUGAUCCAUGAGUGGUGUGCAAGGAAGAGCCUUGCUGUAACAGGGCUGUGUGUUAACUUGACUCAUAGAAUCAUUAAGGUACCAGCCCAUGGUUGUAAAUGCAGAGGACGAUGAAGCUGAGGAAACUGGGGUGUUUUUAAGGAGGCUGAAGGACAACAGUGAUAGUCGUCAGCACCAAGUCUGGCUUAGGAGUAGGGAGGCAGCUUGCUGGAAACAGAAGAUCCCAUAAAAGCCAAGGAAAGGAUUCCCAUCAGAUUCAAUGGGCAUUUGUCUUUUACCUGUGAUGGAUAGGCUCCAAUUGCCUGUGUGAAAACAGGGCCCAGACCCCACUGGUGUCAAGGCCAAAUCUUUCAGAUAGACAAAAGUUUCUCCUGAAGCACUGUGGUCCAACCACCUUCAUGUCUGGGCUCAGGGCAAGCUUAAGGCCCACAUCUGUCUCAGCCCAAAGGGCUCAAACUGCAGAACUCCUUUGGAGUGUGCGGAUGUUUUGGGUGAUGUGAAGCAGCACCC